rnacentral:rRNA from 1 species
AUGGCACCAAUCAUCGACGGCAAACCCUGGGACUGGGGCGUGCACACGGCACGGCUGCGCGAGCACAUCCUUCAAGCGCAGCACCGCUUCAAGAAGCAGGCCGACCAGCACCGCUUCGAGUGCUCCUUUGAAGUGGGCGACUCCGUGCUCCUGAAUCUCCAGCCCUACGCCCAAUCAUCUGUGGCCAAUAGACCGUGCGCAAAGUUGGCAUACAAGUACUUUGGCCCGUUCACGGUGCUCGCCAAGAUCGGCAACCUGGCGUACAAGCUGGAGCUUCCAACGGAUAGCAAGAUCCACCCCGUCUUCCACGUGUCGCAGCUCAAGCCCUUCACCCCCAAGUACACUCUAGUCUUCGCCGAGCUGCUGCGACCCCCGGACCUCGCCGGCACUGCUGAUGAGCCGAUGGAGAUCGUGGAACGCCGCAUGGUCAAGCACGGCAACAGUGCUCUGGUGCAGGUCAGAAUUCGCUGGAAGAACAACGCCAUAGCCACGACUUGGGAAGAUUACGACACUCUCCGCCAUCGCUUUCCGCAAGCUCCAGUGUGGGAUGCACCACCAGCCGGCAACAACGAACAGCAGGCAUCUUCUGAAGACGGCGCCAGUUCUCAAGGGGUGGGGAAUGUCACACCUGCAUCACCUGUGGUGGAUGCGGUGGACGUGUGA